rnacentral:lncRNA from 1 species
UGAAACAAGAGAAAUUUAUGUAUUUAUCUAUUUAUAAUUGGGUGUGACUAUUGUACUCCAGGGAUAUCAUACCUCACAGUCUGGAUACCGACAGAUAAUUAGAUUUUAUUGAUUUAUUGAUCAUUUAACGAUGUCUAAAAUGUAAAAUAUGUACUAAUGAAAUAUUACAGUUAGACCCUUAUUAUUGAUACCCAUUCAUUAUUGAUACCUAUUCCUUUUAUCUAAUGGUCAAAUUAAAACCUUAAAUUCUCUAUACGGUGAAUCACUAAAUUUAACAACUUAAACUUUUGUUUUGUCCUAAUUGCUUUAGAAAAAAAAAAAAUCAUAUUAUUUGAAACAUUUUGAAAAGGAUACAGCAUUUUUCAAAUUAAUAUACCAGUCAAGAAAAGGAUGCCGCUAGAUAGACAAAAUAAUUUUUUUUUUAUCUUUUUAUAAUACCUUCUUUUAUUGACAUAGAAGAUCUUUCAAUAGACUCUAAACAAGAAUAUUUUAUAUGGUGGGACAAAAUUUGAGGCAAUUAUCAUUUAUGGUACAUACAACAAACUUAUUGGCCAAGUACAUGUGGUGAAGAUCUAUUCCUCUAUUUUGUUUAACCAAAAAAUAAAUAAAUAAAUUCUAAUUCGUCGUGCACUAAUUUCAACUAAAAUAUAAUGAUAAAGAUUAGCGUUUCAUGCUUUUAAUAUGUAUUUUGAGAGCACAUAUUAAAAACACUGUUUAUGUUGACAAUGACACAUAUACAAAAAUGCUAAUACCAAAAACAAGUGUCAUUAGAGCACGUAUACACGUCAUAUUUUUCAUGACAAUAUUAAUGAUCACAGUAAAAAUGGUGAGACACAUUCCCCCAGCUAGUAAGAAUUUUAGCCACAUUCGGCAGCGGGUAAAUUAAUCAAAAAAGAUGUAUAAUUAAUUUUUCAAUAAUAUUAAUUAGUACCAUAUUAAAAACGCCUAAAAACCCUUCAACUAUUCCAAACCAAACCCUAUUUUCCUCUUCUUCCUUCUAUAUAUAAAUCAUUCAAACACUGCAUUUCACACUCUCCCAUUCAAUCCUCAACUUCCAUAUCUACAGGUCUGUUAACAAAACCAAACAAAACAAUUACUUUUUCCGUUGUAUGUAAUAAAAUCCCAUAAAAAAAUUAUUGCAUUACAUUAGAGUUGAUAGAAGUGUUUAUUAUAACUGCAAAAAAGUGGAUCAUCGAAGGCAUGGAAAGCGGCCACUUCCACUGGAAGCAUCACCGGAGGAGAAAGAGAAAGAACAAGACAACAACUUCCCUUCUUGGACUACUCAUGAAUCAGACAUGUCUGCCAUGGUUUCCGCUCUUACACAAGUAAUUGGCACCACUACCACCGACGCCGACGCC